rnacentral:rRNA from 1 species
UGUGGUUUAAUUCGAUGAUACGCGAGGAACCUUACCAGGGCUUAAAUGCAGGCUGCAUGGGGUAGAGAUACCCCUUUCUUCGGACCGCCUGCAAGGUGCUGCAUGGUUGUCGUCAGCUCGUGCCGUGAGGUGUCAGGUUAAGUCCUAUAACGAGCGCAACCCCUACCGUUAGUUGCCAGCAUGUCAAGAUGGGGACUCUAACGGGACUGCCGGUGCAAACCGUGAGGAAGGUGGGGACGACGUCAAAUCAUCACGGCCCUUACGUCCUGGGCUACACACGUGCUACAAUGGCCGGUACAGAGGGAAGCCACCCCGCAAGGGGGCGCGGAUCUACAAAACCGGUCACAGUUCGGAUCGGGGUCUGCAACUCGACCCCGUGAAGCUGGAAUCGCUAGUAAUCGCGCAUCAGCAAUGGCGCGGUGAAUACGUUCCCGGGCCUUGUACACACCGCCCGUCAAGCCAUGGGAGUUGGGAGGACCUGAAGAUAGUAACCAUCUAGGAGCUAUUUAGGGUUAAACCAGCGACUGGGGCUAAGUCGUAACAAGGUAGCCGUACCGGAAGGUGCGGCUGGAUCACCUCCU